rnacentral:misc_RNA from 1 species
GGAAAUGGAAGACUUUCUGAGUGGUCCAUCCAUACUCGGGAACUCUCAUCUGAAUCCGGAUUAAUUGCACAAGAGCAACAGCAGAAACGACGCCGUAUAAGAUCGCAAGGACAUAGAAAAUACGGUCUUGCCAAAUAGGAGAUUCAUUCACUUCAUCCCACCAGCUUAUUGCCUCAUGUAAACGGUACGCCGCCACCGCAGCCGUCGACGACGGGUCCACCGCUGUUUCAACCCGACCCAUCGCCGGAGAUCCGAAAUUAGACACACCAAAAAAUACGAAAUAAAUGAAAUUUUAGAGAAUUUUUUGUUUGAUCGGAAAAUUAUUGAGCCUAAAACGGCCGGCGAGAAAGGAGAGAAACACGGCGGCGUUCCCUGAACGUUC